AAUAUUGAUUUUUUUUAUAGAGCGUUAAAGUUUUGCGAAGCCAGGGGGCGGGACUACUUGAUUGACAGUCCGGUCUGGAAUGAUUGACAGGUCCUAUGGAGGAGGCAGCAGAGACUCUGCUCUCCUCGUUUGGAUUAAUUCUGAUAUAAUAACUGUUGGUUUAUUUAUCGGUGCAGCAGCACAACAUUUUCCACAGACAGUUUUCCUGCCCGUUGGCUUGUUUUAACCAGUUUUCUACCUUCGGCUGAUUCUACCAGCAGACACUGAAAGGACUCUGAUAGUUCGAGUGAAAGUAGCAGUUCCUCCUUAAGGUCAGAGAUUGCAGCAUCUGAGGGCCUCUUCAAAAGAAGACGUAGUUGAUGAAGGCGUUCUGGAGCAGGACCAGAAAGACCACGACCAAGCAGCCUUGAGAUCUUAGGCAGCGUCUCCCUCAGGUCCCUCUCUAUCUCCCUACACAUCCACCAACCACUGGAACACAUCUCCAAAGUUCUGCUGGGCCAGCUCAGCUUCCCCUCAGAAGAAGUGCCGCCACCUGCCAGAUGAAGGAGCCUUUUGAGAGGCAGCUGGCAUCGUGUUUGGACUGUACUUUGGUCUGUUCCAAUCCAGCUUCAGCUCCAGAGACGGCAGGCGGAACGAGUCAACGGAGGCCGGGUGGACGAAGGCAUGCAGCUGAGUACAAUCCAGAAAACAACAGAGGAGGAGUGCAGUGGCCUAGUGGCAAAACAAACAGAGUAGCAUGGUAUGUCUCUUAGAAAACAUCAUAGUAUAGCCUUUGGUAUGAAAAAAUGCCAUCAUAUACAUCGUAUAUUGUACAAAUAAUAAGUCAAAGGAAAGAGACAUACA